UGGUAGAGCUGCCUUUCCUGUCCUUUUGAUUCUUCUUUUAUCGUUAUCUUGACCUGUGACCCAUCUUCAUCGUCUCCUGGUUUUUUCCUAAAUUGUUUCAAGUUAUUGACUAAUAAUAACACUCCCACCACUUCAAGAUAAUUGCCUCUGCAGUCUCACAGCCCUGAUCAUUUCAAGUUUUGAAUAGGUUUCGAGUAAGACUUUCAGAGCUGGACUCUCCAACCUCCAUAUGAAUCCAGCUUGGAUUUGCUUAGAUAACAAGCUGGUCUUGGGGCUGGAAAGGUGGCUCAGCUGUUAAGAGUACCUCCUGUUGUUCCAGAGAACAGGAGUUAGGGUCCCUCUCCCCAUAUCCUGUAGUUUAUAACUGCAAGUCACUCUAGCUCCAGGGGAUCUGACACCUUUCUUCUGAUCUCAGAGGGUACCCACAUACAUGUGUUAUAAAUUCACAUACACAAACAGACACAUACAUACAUGUGUGCUUACAUAUAGACAUGUACACACACACAUGCACACAUCCCAUACACAUGCAUACACAUACAUACACACACAUGCAUAUACAUGCACAAACACAUAUGUAUACACACAAACAUAGAAAUAAAAAAAGUUUAAAAAAUCUGGUCUUGAACUUACUAAAAAAAAAAAUAAA
rnacentral:lncRNA from 1 species